UGACUCCCGUCGAAGAUGACUAUAUGGACACGAGUUCAGAAUCUAAGAACAAUAAUUAAUAUGAAUAAGUAAUUCAAUUUAUUAUUUUUUGUUAUAUCAUGUAAUACUUGAGUUUUUUUGAUUACGUACUGAUUUAAAUUAUUUUAAUCAUUGUAGCAUCAUGACUGGUCCUGGACGUAGACAUUCACGGGGUAGGCAACAGGCUCCACUUGAUGAUACACAUCCUCACUUUAGCAUUUUGCAUGAUGAGUCAAAGGAUUUAGAUGAGACUCAGUUGCCCGAGUCCACAGAGCAGACUAGUGCUCAGCCAGAGCUUACCCAGCCGAAGGUCAUGGUACCGCAGCAUCAUCCCCUUACAGGAACACAGCAUCGAUGUGCAGUGCGUGGUCCUAGUAGGGGUCUUGUUUUGGAAAAAUAUGUGCAUACACACAAUGAAAAAUCAAAGGUACAGAUAUUUCGAGAUCAUCCGGUUGGCACAGAGGCUAGUAUCAUCGCAAAUGAGAUCAGUUUGUAUAUGUAGAAUCAUUUUUCGUGGGCUGCUGAAAGUUUCAAGCAUGUAGCUCCUCGAUACCGUGAUGCUCUAGUCUCUCACAUCAAGGAUAAUAUUGACUUCGAGGAUUGCACUGACGAAGAAGUGACGACAUGUAUUCUCAAAAUGGCUGCAAAUAGAU